AAUAGGGUGAGGGGUCCUUACUCGUUUCGUGGUCCGAACACGGCUUCACAGUGCGCCUACAGGCUGUCCCUAAUUUUCCCUGAAUUUUUUUCGGGGAACUGAAACGCACUACUGGUACCGGCGGCGGCGCUCUCGGGUGCGGCGGCUCUCCGGCGAGGUUCGUGUUUUGGUGAUUCGGCUCCGGUCAACCUCGAUCGGCGGUCGGAAGUUCCUCCGGUACGGCGGCGGGUGGCGGCGGCCGGCUUCUGGUUCGUCUUCUCCGGCGAGCGGCAGGCGGCUCGGGUUUGUGGUCUGGUGUGGGGGUUCUAUUUAUAACCCCUUGCCCUUUGAUCUCAGCCGUCCAUUUUGAUUUAAUCUGGG
rnacentral:lncRNA from 1 species